GCAGAGAUUAUUGCUGGAGCCCAAUCCCUUCCCCCCAGUGUCUGCACACACACAGAGAGCAGGAAUCCCUAAUUCCAGGAUCACUGGGAACAUGCAGAGAUUAUUGCUGGAGCCCAAUCCCUUCCCCCCAGUGUCUGCACACACAGAGAGCAGGAAUCCCUAAUUCCAGGAUCAAUGGGAACAUGCAGAGAUUAUUGCUGGAGCCCAAUC